rnacentral:rRNA from 1 species
CUAACACAUGCAAGUCGAACGGGAAUCUUCGGAUUCUAGUGGCGGACGGGUGAGUAACGCGUAAGAAUCUAACUUCAGGACGGGGACAACAGUUGGAAACGACUGCUAAUACCCGAUGUGCCGCAAGGUGAAAACUAAUUGGCCUGAAGAAGAGCUUGCGUCUGAUUAGCUAGUUGGGGGGGUAAGAGCCUACCAAGGCGACGAUCAGUAGCUGGUCUGAGAGGAUGAGCAGCCACACUGGGACUGAGACACGGCCCACACUCCUACGGGAGGCAGCAGUGGGGAAUUUUCCGCAAUGGGCGAAAGCCUGACGGAGCAACGCCGCGUGAGGGAGGAAGGUCUUUGGAUUGUAAACCUCUUUUCUCAAGGAAGAAGUUCUGACGGUACUUGAGGAAUCAGCCUCGGCUAACUCCGUGCCAGCAGCC